rnacentral:lncRNA from 1 species
GAAAAGGAGCUGGACGAGCUCACCCUCCGCUUGCAGAGGGACGGUGUGUCUCCUGAGGCUCCAGCAGAGGAGCGUGAGCUGCACCUGUGGCGUUUGCUCCAGCGUAGCGAGGGCAGCCUGACCGCAGUCACCGAAGACCUGCAGACUUUACGCACACAGCAGGCCAGCGAGAUGAGAGAGGUGAGCCAGCAGAUGGCAGGCCGGGCAUCCUCCCACCCUAAAGAAUAGCUAAUGAUGGUCUCCCUCAUCAACACUGUAACAUGACCACACUGUUUCCUGACCAAAACACACUGCUUCUGUAGCUAAUGCUUUUGCUGUGCUGUGUGGUUGUUUGAUGGGUUUUUUAAAGGUGGAAAAUUACGUGGAGCAUAUUCGAAACAUGUUGGAGGAGCGGGAAUCUCUUACAGCGGCGUGACAGCGAACAGCUCCGUGCUGAGCUCGCCCUAAUGAAACACCAACAGGACUCCCAGUGUAAAGAGGUGGUGGAGAUGCUGGAGCAGGAGGGUCUAGCAGAGAUCAGUCAGAGCAGUGCCAGUGAGCAGGUGGCCUAUCUGCUGGUGGAGAGAGUCACUCUGCUUGAGAGACUGGAGGCUGCGGAAAGAAAACUGGACACCCAGACCCUAACUGGCAACCUCAGAGAGGUGCAUUUGCAGGAAGAGCUGGAUCAUAUGCGUCACACGUUGGAAGAUGAACUCAGGCAGACAUGAAGAAGGGCCACAGUGAAGAACUCAAUAGAGAACGCAUAGAGCGCCAGAGGCUGGAGAGGGAUCUGGAAGAGGCAUCGAGUCGUCUUGCUAUGGCACAUAAAGAGAUUCGUCACCUGACGGAUGAACUAGAUCUCGCUCGUAAGGUCCAAAACUCGUGUGGUAAGUAAAUAACCAAUUAUUAGUGGUGCUGUGGUAGUAAAAUUCUGGCUGAUGUCAGUAAGCUGAUUAUAAUUAUUUUCAUGUUAUGGCAGAUAACUGAUAAAUGACUGAGAAUAAAAUUCUGUGGUAUACUUCUAUACUAUUGUAGCCUACAUAUAGUGCCAUUCAAAAGUUUGGGGUUUUGGGUACAAAUUGUUUUUUUUUCUUUUUUGAAGUCUCUUAAGGAAGCAUUUUUAAAAAUCUAAAAUAUAGAUAAAAUAGUAAUAUUGUGAAAUAUUAUUACAAUUUGUAAUAAUAAAAUAAAAUGUAAUUUAUUCCUGUGAUUGCAAAGCUGAAUUUUCAGAAGUCCAUUGCUCCAGUCUUCAGUGUCACAUGAU